GCACUGCUGACGAGUCCCAAACAGAACGAAAUAGCUCUCCAGUGC
rfam:Echinostoma caproni strain Egypt genome assembly, scaffold: ECPE_scaffold0004311